UGUGUGUGUGUGUGUGUGUGUGUGUGUGUGUGUGUGUGUGUGUGUGUGUGUGUGUGUGUGUGUGUGUGUGUGUGUGUGCAAUGUAUCCAGCAGGAGUCAUCUCACACAUACACACACUCUCUCUCCCUCGAUGCACAAGCUCUCGUUCCCCUCGGAGGUGUUGUUCCGAUGUUUGGAAAGACGGCGGCCUUUGCUGGAUUAGCGCCGCGCUCCGCAGGCUGCUGUGCUGCUACUGGUUCAGAACGCUACGGUUUGGCUCCGCCCCUCUGGUCGACACGUUCCGUCACUCAGAUGUCAAACGCCGUCCGACGUCGGUUCUUCUGGCUUCCGAUCGGAUCACAAACGGAGCGGCGGCACCGUCAGGAGCUGGAGUCACUCACCCUGCCAUCCCGAGUCUUCCUGUUCCUGUAGCUGGUUAGCGCUGAUCAGCGCCGGCUAGUAGCAGUUAGCGCUGAUCAGCGCCGGCUAGUAGCAGUUAGCGCUGAUCAGCGCCGGCUAGCAGCAGUUAGCGCUGAUCAGCGCCAGAGGCCGAUGGCUUCUCCAGAAAUCUAAAGCUCCUCCCACUUUCUACUUAAAUCAUCCAAGAAAAAAGCCUUUAAUCUGAAGUGGGCCCUCCGGGAGCCGACGGGUCGGGUGUAAUUCCCCCUCCUGCCAGCAGAUGCCGCAGCGCCAGCAGUGCUCCUGCCACCGUUAACGGAACUUCAGGUUUAUCUUCCUCCAAGGGUCUGAACGUUGACCUCUUCAGGUUUCUCACAGUGAGCAACACGUUCUGCAGCUGCUGUAAAAAAAACAAAACAAAAAAUAACUCCUAAAAUGUUGGUUUGAGGUCAAGCUGAUGGGACGAGGCUAAUGCUAACUAGCGUUACCAUCCUGAGGAAUGUAGAGCAACUUCAACUCCACAUUACACAUUAAUCAUGUGAAGCUGGAGCCCAACUCGCAUGAGCAUUAGCGCAGCUCCAGUUAGCAUUAGCGCAGCUCCAGUUAGCAUUAGCACUGUGAUGAACGUUGAUCUGGAAACCAAACACUGCAGACAGCUUCACGUCAUGAUGGAGAUAUCUGAGAUUCAUGCAGACUUCAAGCUCUACCUGUAGCUUUAGCUGUAGCUUUAGCUUUAGCAUUAGCUUUGGCUUUAGCACCACUUUCCAAACACUGAUAGAGAAAAGUGGAGCACUGGAAAAAGAAAACACUAAACACAAACAAAACCUGGAAGUGAAGAGCUGGUCCCGGUCGUCCCAUUAGCAUUAGCUCACAGGUAGCGCUAGCACAGCUAUGCGUUCACCAGCAGCGAGCUCCACCCGUCAGCCUGUGGUGGAGCUGAAGGAAGUAGCGUUAGCAUGACCUCAGAGCCACAUUCUCAAAGCUAAUGCUAUUAGCACCUAGCAUGUGUCAUUUGACACCUGGCUCACAGUUUGUCGGCACCCGUUAGCAUUAGCACGUCUCUUCUGCAGCCCGGUGAUGGAGAGGAAGAGGCGGAGCUUCAGCCUUCAUGCUAACAGGAGAACCAGCCACGUUCUGUCUUGAUGGAACCCAAACCUCCUGCCGCCCCCUGCUGCUAGCGCUAGCUUUAACGUUAGCAUUAGCACGGUCCUCAGCCGCUCAAAACAGGAAGUCAGGUUCUCCUCCUGCAUCAGUCGCUGUUCACACGAAUCCAGCACUUUGAUGGAGUCAGUGACGAUCUGAAGAGUCAGACCUCCACCUGCUCCACUUCCUGCUCCUCCACCUGCUCCACUUCCUGCUCCUCCACCUGCUCCACUUCCUGCUCCACUUCCUGCUCCUCCACCUGCUCCACUUCCUGCUCCACUUCCUGCUCCACUUCCUGCUCCUCCACCUGCUCCACUUCCUGCUCCUCCACCUGCUCCACCCAGAGACUCCGUGUCCAAUUUGUGUCCUUGAUGCCUUUUUUCAUCAUUUUGUCUCCGUACUGAUCCCGAUCCUGAUCCGGUUCCUGUCUGGAUCCGGAUCUGGUCUGGGAGAGCUCAGCUGGGAUGUGACGUUGCUGCUGCACAUUUGAAAGAAGUUGUUUUAUGAGGAACCUCUUUUAUUGUGAAAGGAUCCUGGAUCCAGGAUCCUGCUGCUGUUCUCCGCAGAACCCGCCCCCUCCCACAGCUGGCUGCAGUUCACUGCCUCAGCCGCCAGAGGGCGCUGGCGCUUCUCUGUUGUCUCCUCAAAGCAGAGCAACCAGAAUGUGAAGGUGAGGUUCUGGAAGGUUCUGCUGGCGGCGCCCGACAGGUCCGGGUUCUGGAAGGUUCUGCUGGCGGCGCCCGACAGGUCCGGGUUCUGGAAGGUUCUGCCGGCGGCGCCCGACAGGUCCGGGUUCUGGAAGGUUCUGCUGGCGGCGCCCGACAGGUCCGGGUUCUGGAAGGUUCUGCCGGCGGCGCCCGACAGGUCCGGGUUCUGGAAGGUUCUGCUGGCGGCGCCCGACAGGUCCGGGUUCUGGAAGGUUCUGGAAGGUUCUGCCGCUCCGCUCCUUUAUUUUUCUAAGUUUUCCAGAGUUUUCAAAACAGAAAUAAAAAGUGAGAAUGAAUGAAGAGUUGAGAGGGGCGGGGCGGGGGCGGGGCCAAGGUGGGGGCGGGGCUCUCCGAGCAAUGUUUAUAUUUAUAGGUCGAUUUUUUCAUGAGGGGGUGUGGUCUGAGCUGGUUUUGUAAACUUUGUGUUUCUACGGUAACGAUCUCCUGCGAGUCAAUAAAACUCUGAAACCCGA